rnacentral:rRNA from 1 species
CGCAGCCGCGGUAAUUCCAGCUCCAAUAGCGUAUAUUAAAGUUGUUGCAGUUAAAAAGCUCGUAGUUGAAUUUCGGGGUCAGCAAGUUGGUCGUGCCACUGGUAUGCACUGGCUUUGCUGAUUCCUCCUUCUUGAAGAACUGUAAUGCUAUUAAUUUAGUGUUGCAGGGAAACAGGACUGUUACUUUGAAAAAAUUAGAGUGUUUAAAGCAGGCUAACGCUUGAAUACAUUAGCAUGGAAUAAUGAAAUAGGACGUUUGAUCCUAUUUUGUUGGUUUCUAGGAUUGACGUAAUGAUUAAUAGGGAUAGUUGGGGGCAUUAGUAUUCAAUUGUCAGAGGUGAAAUUCUUGGAUUUAUUGAAGACUAACUACUGCGAAAGCAUUUGCCAAGGAUGUUUUCAUUAAUCAAGAACGAAAGUUAGGGGAUCGAAGACGAUCAGAUACCGUCGUAGUCUUAACCAUAAACUAUGCCGACUAGGGAUCGG